rnacentral:rRNA from 1 species
GACGAACGCUGGCGGCGUGCCUAAUACAUGCAAGUAGAACGCUGAAGGAGGAGCUUGCUUCUCUGGAUGAGUUGCGAACGGGUGAGUAACGCGUAGGUAACCUGCCUGGUAGCGGGGGAUAACUAUUGGAAACGAUAGCUAAUACCGCAUAAUAGUAGAUGUUGCAUGACAUUUGCUUAAAAGGUGCAAUUGCAUCACUACCAGAUGGACCUGCGUUGUAUUAGCUAGUUGGUGGGGUAACGGCUCACCAAGGCGACGAUACAUAGCCGACCUGAGAGGGUGAUCGGCCACACUGGGACUGAGACACGGCCCAGACGCCUACGGGAGGCAGCAGUAGGGAAUCUUCGGCAAUGGACGGAAGUCUGACCGAGCAACGCCGCGUGAGUGAAGAAGGUUUUCGGAUCGUAAAGCUCUGUUGUAAGAGAAGAACGAGUGUGAGAGUGGAAAGUUCACACUGUGACGGUAUCUUACCAGAAAGGGACGGCUAACUACGCG